CAGAGAAAUGCCCUCCGGGGCAGACCUCCCACCCUGUAUAAUUUACUCUUGUUGCUUUGGCAGGCCGCCCUUGGGCCCCCGGCAAUUCUGCUGGGGAGCGCCUGCCAGAGAACCCCAACUCUUAUAUUUAAUGUCGUCUGAGAACUAUAAAAUAAGUUA
rnacentral:misc_RNA from 1 species